GUGCUGUGGCCAAGUGGUAAGGCGAAGGUCUGCAAAACCUUUAUUCACCAGUUCAAAUCUGGUCAGCA
rnacentral:tRNA from 1 species